ACCACAGACUGCGUACCAGUGCCAGCGAGAAGGCUGCUACGACAGACGGGACCCGACGCUAUGUAUCCAUCAGCAUGACAGCCGCGUCGAUGGCGUUUCCAAAGUUGGAUAACGGUGUUUGGCCUUGAACAGAGACGUUAGAAGCGUGACAUAGAUUUAACGGCAAUGGCUGCGGUAUCACUUGUUAGAUAGAGAGACAGGCAGAGAGAGUGAGAGCGAGAGAGAGAGAGCGAGAGAGAGAGCGAGAGAGAGAGAGAGAGAGAGAGGGGCCAAAGUGGACUCCCUCCCUCGGUACAGCCGUUCCGCCCGAUGGAGGCAGACGGGACCAUUGCAGUGAGCUCGAGGCCCGGAAUGUCACCUGUGAAACGUCCACACCUCGUUGGAGGACGUGACUGAGGAAAAGACCGCGCACAUCUCUCCUCGCUUUCGACAACUUAUUAACUUCUUAGAAAGCUUGUGUGCAACAACAAAAGUUAGCUGGUCAACGUUAGCUGCGGGAGGCGACCCCUCGCUCAAGAUGACCGUCAUAGAUAUCACUUAACGAGAGGUUACUCACCGCCUCAGGUAACCUAGGACAGGUGAACAGCGCACUAUUUAACGGACUUCAUGCUUUAUAGUUUAUGUUACUUUAUAUUUCUCCAUCCGCAAGUUGACAUCAACCCACCUGCCUGCGAGAACUGAGCAGUUUUGUUUCUCAAACAAAGACUUUUCUCAUCAAGUGUCACCUUUUUCAACAACCAUGUCAUUCAAAGAAAACCCCUGUCGGAAAUUUCAAGCCAACAUUUUCAACAAAAGUAAAUGCCAGAACUGCUUUAAGCCCAGGGAAUCACAUUUGCUCAACGACGAAGACUUAAAUCAGGCAAAACCUAUAUAUGGAGGCUGGUUGCUGCUGGCGCCCGAGGGAACAAAUUUUGACAAUCCCUUACACAGAUCUCGGAAAUGGCAAAGGAGGUUCUUCAUCCUCUACGAGCAUGGCUUACUUCGCUAUGCUCUGGACGAAAUGCCCAGCACUCUACCCCAGGGUACAAUCAAUAUGAACCAGUGCUCUGACGUCAUCGAUGGGGAGACCAGGACAGGUCAGAAGAACUCGCUGUGCAUCCUGACCUCUGAGAAAGAGCACUUCAUACGGGCUGAAUGUAAAGAAAUCAUCAACGGGUGGCAGGAGGCACUGACUGUGUACCCCAGGACCAACAAGCAGAACCAGAAGAAGAAACGCAAGGUUGAUCCACCCACUCACCAGGGUGGAGUAACUCCAAGCCAGUGUUUUUCCACUGAAGACAUGAAUGGACACCCAGAGCCCGGCCCUGCCAAGGUGACAGUGACCAGCAGCAGCAGCGGAGGCAGCAUCCCCUGCCUGCCCAGCAGCAUUGCCAGUGCUGAGCGUGUCCCAAUGAGCCGUGCCACCCUGUGGCAGGAGGAGAGCCGCUGGAGCAGGGCCACCAUCCCCUGCAGCCGCAGUGCCUCCUGUCUCAGCCAGCUGAGCCAGAGCCAACCAGACUCCAGUAUCACUACUCAAGACGAUGGUGGCACCAUGAAUACUGGACGCAAGGUACGCGUGGAGAGCGGUUACUUUUCCCUGGAGAAGACCAAGUCGGAGCCUUCUCCACAGUCUGCACAGCAUUCCCAGCCACCCCAGCCACCUCAACAUCUGCCCCUGUCCUCUUCAGCAUCAUCCUCCUCUUUAGGAGCUCCCAGUCCCAGGUACACCUCCGAGUCAGACCCCCAAACUUCCCCUUAUCAACCUUCCCAAGAUCCUCUCCCUUCUCCAGGUGCACUUGUUUCCCCCAGCUACUCCACCAUCAGCUCCUCCCAGAGCUCGCUGGACUCUGAUCCCAGCGGCAGUACGCCCACCUGGGAGGGAUGCAGUGGUGGUGGAGGGAGCACUAAUAGUGUCAGUGGCGGCGGAGGCCGAGUAGGCCGGUCUGGCAGGGAGUAUGCAGCGCUGUCGGACGUGCCACGGGCUCGCAGGCUGAGCUACCGAGAGGCGUUCCGCUCGGAGAAAAAGCGGCAAGAGCUGAGGGCACGGACACGGAGUCCUGGCAGAGAGGAGGUGGCUCGGCUGUUCGGGGAGGAGCGCAGGCGUUCUCAAAUCAUCGGCCGGUUCGAGGAGGGUCAGCAUGUGGAACGUAUGGACACAAGCAGCUCCAAUGAGCCCACCACCAACACCGUUGUAAUCCAGAGACAAGGCCGCAGUGAGAGACGCUAUCUGGCUAAUAAACAUGAGAUGUCACUGGAUGCAGGGAAAGAUCGUUCAGUCCCUGAUGUGUCCAGCUCCACUUUUGCCAACCUAAGAAGAGCCAAGUCACUGGACCGCAGAGUCACGGAGUCUUCAAUGACUCCAGAUCUGCUGAACUUCAAAAAAGGAUGGAUGACCAAGCUGUAUGAAGAUGGAAUGUGGAAGAAACACUGGUUUGUCCUCACAGACCAGAAUCUGAGGUACUAUAAGGACUCAAUAGCCGAGGAGGCUUCAGAACUGGAUGGUGAGAUUGAUCUUUCCACUUGUCAUGAUGUCAAAGAGUUCCCGGUCCAGAGAAAUUACGGCUUCCAAAUCCUGUGUAAAGAGGGAGCAUGCACCCUGUCAGCCAUGACCUCUGGAAUCCGUCGCAACUGGAUUCAGGCCAUUAUGAAGAAUGUGCGACCCACUAUUGCCCCCGAUGUCACCCGGAAAAACAUCUCUCUGAAACUAUCCGUUCUGAAGCCCAGAUCCCUCCCUGAUGAGAAGAUAAAAGCCCAAGUGAUGUUGGAGCCGUGUCCACAGGUCACCCCUGAGCCAAGCCCCAUUUCUGAGGCCCCCAGGUCUGACGUCCACAGACAGCCAGCUGGCAACAAUGCCUCUGUUCCUCCCUCUGAGUCCCGUAAAAGCCGAGUUCGUGAGCGCAGACCAGAGGGCCGCUCUAAGACUUUUGAUUGGUCUGAGUUCAAAAUGGAUCAGACCGAAAAGCCUUUGAAGGAACGAGCAGACACCGUCGACCUCAGUUCAUCGUUCUCCACAACUUCCUCAUAUUGCUCUCCCUCCUCUUCACCUUCUUCAUUAGCGUCCUCUCCCGUCUCUACCUCCUCCCUCCAAACCUCCUCGAUAUCAGGCGCUCACCCACCUUCUCUGACAGAAGAAGCAGAAAAGGAGAAUGUCAGGAGGGGUGUACCUCCACACAGCACAACCAGUGCAACCCACAUGCCAAAUACUGUUACUGUUACCAUGACUUCCACUCUAAACGCUAUGCCACCGGUACAGCCAUCGAAGCCUGAAAGCCCAGAGCAGGGAAAGAUGGAAGUAGACCACCCCACAGCCAUUCACCCUGCAGGUGACGAUAAGGGCAAAAGAAGCUCAGGUGUCCAUGAAGAGAUUGAGCAGCGAUGGCAUCAAGUGGAGACAACACCGCUGAGAGAAGAGAAGCAAGUGCCCAUCACCACAGCUUUAGGAAACUCUGGUAACUCCGACAGAUUGCCUGCGGAUGAGCUUGCUGCGCUGCUAGACAAAGAGUUGGGACAGAAGCAGAAGGAGCUAGACCGACUACAGAAGCAGAACAACCUUUUAAAGGAGCAGCUGGAAGACGCACUAGGGAGAGAACAGAGUGCCAGAGAGGGCUAUGUACUGCAGAGUGCAACACCCCCUUCCUCUUCACCGCACAGAGUGCCAUGGCAACGCUUGCACAAGCUUAAUCAAGAUUUGCAGGGUGAAUUGGAGUCCCAAAAGCGCAAGCAGGACCUUGCUCAGCAGCAGAUUCGGACACUGAAGAGAAGCUACACCGAAGCCCAGGAUGCUGUAGACCGCCAUGAGGCUGAUAUUCAGGCUCUGCAGGGGAAACUAGCUUCUGCAAUGGCUGAAAUCUUAGCCAGUGAACAAGCUGUGGCUCGAAUGCGCAAUGAGCUCAAGCUAGAGCAGGAGCGCUCAAAGGAACAAGAAGUGGAAUAUGGACAAAGUGAGGCCACCCUCCGAGCCCAGCUAAAGGACAGUGAAGACAGACUCCGUGAAGUAGAGGCCAGUCUCUUGGAGAGGAACCAGGCCCUUAGGCACCUGGAGCGCCAGCAGGCCCUGCAGCGAGACCACAUGAGAGAGGUGCAGAGGUUGCAGGAGAGGCUACAAGAGGUCACAGCUCGACUUAGUGCCACUGAAGAGGGUCAAGCACUGAAGGAGGAGCGCCUGAGGAAGGAGCAGCAGAGCAUGCAAGAAAGUCAUGAGAGGGAAAGACAGAACCUGUGCAGAAAAUUAGCUGAGGCUGAAAUGGCACAAAAAGAGAUGGAGGAUAGACUGCUGGAGGCUGAGCAGCAGGUAGAGGCUCUAUUAAGAGGGAGGCAGACCUCGGGAGGAAAAGAAUGCAGGGAGGAAAUGUUAAAGUUGCAAGAGGAGCUGGCCCAGAAGAUUGACAUGGUUGAGUCAUUGAGGGAGAGUGUGCGUAGGCUAGAAGAAGAGAAAGGCCAUCUCACUUAUCGCUGUCAGGAGCUUCUUAAUCAGAUUGCAGAAGCAGACCGAGAGGUGAAUAAGCUCCGCAAUCGUCUGGAAACCGAAGAGGCCGAUUACUACACCCUGGAACACUCGUAUGAAAGGGCUACCCAAGAGUUUCAGAAAAUGAGCCAGUUCCUUAGAGAAAAAGAGGAAGAGAUCCGGCAGACUAAGGAGAUGUAUGAGAGGCUGGUGGAACGCAAAGAAGAGGACCUAAAAGAGGCACUUGUUAAAAUGACUGCACUUGGCAACAGCUUGGAGGAAACGGAACAGAAGUUGCAAGCUAAAGAGGAGCUUCUCUGUCAAAUGAGUCAAAGCCUCUUAGAUAAAGUUGAACCAUGUAGUGCUGAAAAGGAUCUGCAAGCCAAGCUUGUGGUUGCAGAGGACCGCAUUGCAGAACUAGAGCAACAUCUAAAUGCCCUGCAGCUGGGCUAUGCUGACCUACGCAUGGAAAGACGGCAAAUCCCAGAGCAGAGCAAGAAAGGAAGAGUUAAAACAUCAGUCUCCUUAUCACCAGACACAGACCUUUCACUUUCCUUUGACAAUACACUCAAGACAGAGAACUCCCAAGAUGAUAAGGAGUCUCAAGCUAAGAGAUCAAGGAUACGAUUUUCAAGUAUUCAGUGCCAAAAAUACAUGAGCUUAGAGAGCCUGGUCACAGGCCAGGAGAGAAGUACGUUUGUGGACAUGGGACAAAAGGUGGAUGAAGAUGUAAAUGAAAUCAUCCCUUUAACUGAAGGAAAUAUCUCCUCUGAUAUCACAUUCCCACAUACUAGUGACCCAGAGAGGUUUAUCACCAUCAUACAUGCCCUGGAGACUAAACUGCUUGCCACUGAGGAUAAGCUAAGAAACCUAACACAGAAUCUCGAAGAGCAGCGAUCCACCCAAGCAGAAGACUUAUCCGAGAUUGAUCUAAAUUUGACAGAAAAUAAGCACUACCCAGAGAAAGAGUUCAGUUGUGGAAGUGGGAUAGAGAGUACUCCUGCCAAUAAGCAUUACGCCAAGGCCCUGGCGUGCGUAGAAAAUAGUCGAGAGAAAGUCAGGGCUAUUCUCAGUGGAUCUCAUGAUUCCACUGGUUCACAGCUGCAUUCAUUGUCAGAGAUAGAGAGCGACUUGUUCAAUGCGUCACUGUACAUCCGACAAGGACAAAAGACAUUGGAAGAGCAAAUACCACUUGUCCAUCAGAAUCAAACUCCAGAGACUCUAGAUAAAGAAGCUUUGCACCUCUUUGCCAAAACCUUGUCUUAUGAGGCAGUAGUUUUGAACAAGAUGGCUUUGUUAAUGCAGACCUCAAAGUCUGACAUCCUAGAAGCUCUUGCGGAGAUAUGGGAAGACAUAGAGAACAUUAAAAGGAGUGACAAAGAUUGCUUGGCUAUAGUUUACGCUGAUGUCUUGACCAGGAAGUUGAUGUUAGAGAGUGCAUUCUGGAAAGAGUUGGAGAAAGCUGAGACAGAUGUUGGUAAAUGCAAAGAGGGCAAUGUGUCAGCUGAUGUGGAUGUUGAUGCCACGAUCUUUAACACCUUCAUUAAAGCAGAACUAGCCUAUUCAAUUCAAAACCUUAAACUUUGCUAUGAAGAGAAAUUCAAAAUACUGAAAAGGGAGUUGACUGAAGCUCAUAAUAAUGUACAGCAAAGGGAAAUGGCUCUGAAAGCAAUUAUUGAAGCUUCCAAAAGGCCUGAUUUGAAAAAUGUAAUAAAAGAAGUCAAAUAUAACUUUGGGUUUAGUAAACAAAAGUUGGCUGACAUUCGACCCCCUGAACUUGCGCCCUACAUGGAGCAGAUUGAAAUGGAAUCAGCUCGAGACCUGGCUGAGGAAAUUGUAGACAGACACUUGGCUGGAGGGAUGCCCUCGUGUGGCGUUGACUCUAUUGAAACACUGCAAAAUGCACAUGACAAUCUGGCUAAUGAGCUUCAGAGACAAGCAGCAGUCCUCAAUAAGUAUGCCCAAGAGAUAGAAAGUGGUGGAAACCAUCCUGGGCUGGCUAAAAUGAUCCACGCUCUUUUCGGGCACCAAACUUCACAUAAUUUCACAAGUACUUCUCUUUGUAUGCGUGAAGCCCUUAUCCAGGCGCAAGUGGCUUAUGUGGCAUGCAGGUUACGGGCCAUGCAUGAACAAGAUUUGGGCUGGUGUAAACAGACAGGUCAGAACAUGGAUGCUCUCGUCCAGCAGCAUGCCCGCAACAUCAGUGCAAUCCAAGAGAAAUACCAAGCGUCCCUACAGGAGGAGCGUCUGAGCUUCACACAGACGGUGGCCACUCUCCAGAUUGAGAACCAAACACUGAAGAGUGAGAUCAGCAAACGUGUGAACCAGCUCUCCCAGCAGCAGCAGCACCUGGCCCUCCUGGAGGAGCAUUACCAGAAGGACACUAAAGAGCUGAAUGAGAGGCACAAGAAGGAGCUACGCCAAGCAGAGCAAGGCCGUGCUUCAACGGAGCUGGCCCUCAUGGAGACGAUAUCUGACAGCCAACGAAAGUUAGAGGUCCUGCUGGUGGACAUGGACACCAUGAAGGAGCGGCACGAGAGUUAUGUGAGGAAACUGGAGGAGCAGUUUGAGCAGAGGAUCUGUGAGCUCCAGCACAUCCACAUCGACAAGAUUCAAAAGUUACAUUCUGAGUAUGAGGAAAGCAUUCAAUGUGUCAAAGAGCAACUGCAUGACCAAAAAGGCCCUGAGGUUUCACACUCGCCACCAUGUGAUGAGGCCAUAGUACCAAUGGAAGAGGAGGAGCAGGGGAAGGGGGAGGAAGCACAAAAUAUGUCUGAGGUGGACUCCAUGGUGGUUCUGAAGGACCGGAUUCAGGAGCUGGAGACUCAGAUGAACACCAUGAGAGACGAACUGGAGAACAAGCACCUCGAAGGAGAUGUGGCCAGCCUGAGAGAGAAAUACCAGAGAGACUUUGAAAGUCUUAAGGCCACAUGCGAACGUGGCUUUGCUGCAAUGGAAGAAACACACCAGAAGGUGAUAGAAGACAUCCAGAGGCAGCAUCAGAGGGAGAUUUCCAAACUUAUGGAAGAGCGAGAGAGACUGUUGGCUGAAGAGACUGCCGCAACAAUUGCUGCUAUUGAAGCUAUGAAAAAUGCACACAAGGAGGAACUGGAGAAGACCCAGCGCUCACAACUGAGUGGACUGAACUCUGACAUUGAUGAGCUUCGCUUACAAUACGAGGAGGAGCUGCAGUCCAUCCAGAGAGAACUGGAGGUGUUGUCAGAGCAGUAUUCUCAGAAAUGUCUGGAGAACGCUCACCUGGCCCAGGCGCUGGAGGCCGAGAGGCAGGCCCUCAGGCAGUGUCAGAGAGAGAACCAGGAGCUAAAUGCUCACAACCAGGAAUUAAAUAACAGACUGAGUGCAGAAAUCAUUCGGAUGCGAUCCUGUUUCAGCGGAGAAACGGCGAUGUCACCACUCACCCAGGGCAAAGAUGUGUAUGAACUGGAGGUGUUGCUGAGAAUUAAGGAGUCAGAGAUCCAGUACCUUAAACAGGAAAUCCACUCUUUGAAAGAUGAACUGCAGUCUGCUUUAAGGGACAAGAAAUAUGCCACAGACAAAUAUAAGGACAUAUAUACAGAGCUCAGUAUUGUGAAAGCAAAGGCUGACUGUGACAUCACCAAACUGAAGGAGAAACUGCUCAUCGCCACAGAAGCUUUAGGCGAGAGGACUGUCGAUGGAACAGUCACGUCUGGAUACGAUAUCAUGAAAUCAAAAAGUAAUCCAGAUUUUAUUAAAAAAGAACAAUCAACAACCUCCAAGCAAUUAAGAGGCAUAAGGUCAAAGUCUGUCACUGAACAGGUCUCAUGGGAUAGCUGACACUCCCAUUGUGGGGUGAUUUACCCCCCACCCCCGCCCCAAGAUGUGCUAGCCUGAAAGAGGGACUUACCGUGCAGGAGCGCAUGAAGCUUUUUGAGGCAAAAGAUUCCAAAAAGAUUUGAAUAUCAAGAAUCUGAAGUUUCUUUUCUCUUUCCUGGCCUUGGUUUUUGGUCCGGUUUCUACAGUCAUGCCAGCAUCAGCUGAAGACUCUUAUAGGUAAUGGAAUAAAUCUAUAAAGGUCGAUACUUAACAUGGACCUGCUGCUUCCAUGCCUCUGAUAAGUUGUCAUAUAUUUGUUUAAUUUUUUUUUUUUUUUUAAUAGUAAAAAGUUUUACUGAAUCAAUCCUGUGUUAGGUUUCUUUAAAAACACAUAGAUGUAUAAUCUGUCCAAGUUGGAGAUGUGUCAAAUAAGCUGUGAGAGGGAUACAUGACAGCAUUUUUAUUGAUCCUCCAAAAUGCCAAAACAGACAGCAAUACACAGUAUGAAUAAUAUAUAUAUUUCCCAAUAUGAAUUAAGUAUCUGCUGUAUUUUAUUAUUGUUACAGUUUCUAUAUCUAAUAAUUUUUAAUGUGUUUAAUGUUGCACCAGUUCUGUUGUACAUAACUACUGGAUAUAUGUAAGAGUAUGGUUUGCUGUUGAUUGUUGGGGCAUCUGCUGUACUAUAACUAUGGUUUGAUUGAUAGUAGAAAACAAUGUGAUGCUUAACUUGCUUGUGUAUGAGAGUUUUAUAAAAAAUGGAGUGUCUGUGUGUGAGGGGGGGAAAGGGGGGUGGGAUUGCACUUAUCACUUGACUACUUGAGGAAGCUUUUUUUGUCUCAAAUUGGUGUAGUGACUUUGAGUCAAUUAUUGCAGUGCAACCAAACAUCCUGACUUCUGUCAAACUUAGUGAACAGCCGUGACUUGUUAGUAAUACUGGAUUUUUUUUUUUUAAGUUUCUUAAAACCUGAACUUGUGUUUGCUCAGUUUUGACUUUGGUGUGAGAAUAUCAUCUCAUAAAAGCUGAAACUAUUUAGGACUUUGCAUGACUGUACAGUAUAAUUUGAUUUGCAGAAUGAUCAUGUUGCCUCAUUUUCCUACUUUAUGCUUUAGUGUGGAACUCUUUAACACUAAUAAGCUUUGCUUUGCAAGUCCUACUGUUUAGGUGUUGAGAUUGAAAUGUUUUACUGUAAGCGGCAGUCUUGAAGCACUUGGCCCAAUCCCUGACCUCUCACUGAAAAUCUAGUCGUGCCUCAACUGAGUGAAGAAUAUAAACAUCCAUGAAACCUGUGCAGCUAUGGAUACACACUGUAUAGUAUUCAAACCACGCCUUGUAUAUAUAUAUGCCACACGGAAGACUUCUGUGUUUUGUUUUAAACUUGUACCUUGCUCACUAGCUCUAUAUGAAAUAUAUAUAUGAAUAUUUUUUAUUUUCAUUUGAAUGUAUAACGUCAAAUAAAUGAAGUGUUUGGA